ACCUCAUAUGUUCAUUUAAUUCUUACCAUUUCAGUUGCACAAUGAGGUUAUAUCUAUAUAUUAAUAAGGCCCCUUAGCAUCUAAUAACCACAAAAUUUAACCAUCCAUAUUCGAACUUCUCGGUCUAUACCACUAACCAGCGCAUCUCACUUUUGCAAGUAUCUAACAAAAGAACUCCAAGAGAGUCUGAAAGCAAUUCCUCCAAGGCACCAGUUUCAACUCAAUAACUUUUACUUCUGGAUUCACUUUUGGAAAGCAUCAUUCCCGAAAGUUUGUUGAUCUCGUAUAAUAGCCCAGCAUAAAACAGAAAUCUGCAUUGGUAUCCAAAAAAGCACUUAAUCAGAGUGAGAAAAAUUUCCACAGCAAAUAAUUUGUCAUAGCAUUUAAGUUUCUUCAUCAGUAAAUUUGAAUGUCUAUUUUUCAAGGCAAUAAUAACAUAAUAGAGUAUGAUUUGAGGUGGUGUAAGAAGUUUAGCUUAUUGCAUAAAAUCAAAAUUCAUGGUCAAUCCCAAGAUGCCAG
rnacentral:lncRNA from 1 species